GGAGGUCACGGGGACAGACCCAGCAGGUGCCAUGGGGUUGACCGACUUGAGACGACCGGCGGAUGCACCUAGCCUGUGCCAGGCUAGGUGCAGGAGGUCACGGGGACAGACCCAGCAGGUGCCAUGGGUUGACCGACUUGAGACGACCGGCGGAUGCACCUAGCCUGUGCCAGGCUAGGUGCAUCCUAGGCUAGGUGCAGGAGGUCACGGGGACAGACCCAGC